UACAGAGGUGGCAAGCGUUGUUCGGAAUUACUGGGCGUAAAGGGCGAGUAGGCGGCCUUCUAAGUCAGACGUGAAAUCCCCCGGCUUAACCUGGGAACUGCGUCUGAUACUGGGAGGCUCGAGUAUGGGAGAGGGAUGUAGAAUUCCAGGUGUAGCGGUGAAAUGCGUAGAUAUCUGGAGGAAUACCGGUGGCGAAGGCGGCAUCCUGGACCGACAUUGACGCUGAACGGCGAAAGCUAGGGGAGCAAACGGG
rnacentral:rRNA from 1 species